GACGAACGCUGGCGGCGUGCCUAAUACAUGCAAGUAGAACGCUUAAGGAGGAGCUUGCUCUUCUGUAUGAGUUGCGAACGGGUGAGUAACGCGUAGGUAACCUUCCUGGUAGCGGGGGAUAACUAUUGGAAACGAUAGCUACUACCUCAUAACAGUAGAUGUUGCAUGACAUUUUCUUAAAAUGUGCAAUUGCACCACUACCAGAUGGACCUGCGUUGUAUUAGCUAGUUGGUGGGGUAACGGCUCACCAAGGCGACGAUACAUAGCCGACCUGAGAGGGUGAUCGGGCACACUGGGACUGAGACACGGCCCAGACUCCUACGGGAGGCAGCAGUAGGGAAUCUUCGGAAAUGGACGGAAGGCUGACCGAGCAACGCCGCGUGAGUGAAGAAGGUUUUCGGAUCGUAAAGCUAUGUUGUAAGAGAAGAACGAGUGUGAGGGUGGAAAGUUCACACUGUGACGGUAUCUUAACAGAAAGAGACGGCUAACUACGUG
rnacentral:rRNA from 1 species